GCGUAAAGAGCUCGUAGGUGGUUUGUCGCGUUGUUCGUGAAAUCUCACGGCUUAACUGUGAGCGUGCGGGCGAUACGGGCAGACUUGAGUACUGCAGGGGAGACUGGAAUUCCUGGUGUAGCGGUGGAAUGCGCAGAUAUCAGGAGGAACACCGGUGGCGAAGGCGGGUCUCUGGGCAGUAACUGACGCUGAGGAGCGAAAGCGUGGGGAGCGAACAGGAUUAGAUACCCUGGUAGUCCACGCCGUAAACGGUGGGUACUAGGUGUGGGUUUCCUUCCUUGGGAUCCGUGCCGUAGCUAACGCAUUAAGUACCCCGCCAGGGGAGUACGGCCGCAAGGCUAAAACUCAAAGAAAUUGACGGGGGCCCGCACAAGCGGCGGAGCAUGUGGAUUAAUUCGAUGCAACGCGAAGAACCUUACCUGGGUUUGACAUGCACAGGACGCCGGCAGAGAUGUCGGUUCCCUUGUGGCCUGUGUGCAGGUGGUGCAUGGCUGUCGUCAGCUCGUGUCGUGAGAUGUUGGGUUAAGUCCCGCAACGAGCGCAACCCUUGUCUCAUGUUGCCAGCGGGUAAUGCCGGGGACUCGUGAGAGACUGCCGGGGUCAACUCGGAGGAAGGUGGGGAUGACGUCAAGUCAUCAUGCCCCUUAUGUCCAGGGCUUCACACAUGCUACAAUGGCCGGUACAAAGGGCUGCGAUGCCGCGAGGUUAAGCGAAUCCUUUUAAAGCCGGUCUCAGUUCGGAUCGGGGUCUGCAACUCGACCCCGUGAAGUCGGAGUCGCUAGUAAUCGCAGAUCAGCACGC
rnacentral:rRNA from 1 species